UACGUAGGGUGCAAGCGUUAAUCGGAAUUACUGGGCGUAAAGCGUGCGCAGGCGGUUUUGUAAGUCUGACGUGAAAGCCCCGGGCUCAACCUGGGAAUUGCGUUGGAGACUGCAAGGCUAGAAUCUGGCAGAGGGGGGUAGAAUUCCACGUGUAGCAGUGAAAUGCGUAGAGAUGUGGAGGAACACCGAUGGCGAAGGCAGCCCCCUGGGUCAAGAUUGACGAUCAUGCACGAAAGCGUGGGGAGCAAACAGG
rnacentral:rRNA from 1 species